UGGAUAUGGCUCAGUGGUAGGUUAUUUGCCUACCAUGCAUAAGGUCCUGGGUUGAAUCCCUAGUACUUCAA
rnacentral:tRNA from 1 species